rnacentral:misc_RNA from 1 species
GGGUGAGUUCCUUCUCAUGUUAGUUUUUCUCCUCUCCAUUUAAUUGUAUAUGCUCAAGUGGUCUUGUUAUUUAUGCUUGAACCUGGAGGCAAUCUCAGAGAAUCGCUUCAUGGAUUCUUCUGAUGGACAGACCAUUUUGUUUCUUUGAUUUUUGAUUCUGCUAGAACAUCAAUAUUGAUAUAUGUAAAUAUGUUCAAAUUAUAUUGAUCUGCCUCAAUAAUUGAAUCCUUGCAUAUGCAUGUUAUUCAGUAUUAUGUAACUGUUGGUUCUAGUGGAAACAUUUCAGAUAAUUGAAUUAAGUAUAAAUGCAUUACGUUGCUAUAAUUUACUGAUUUACUGUUUGUUGACGGUGAUGAAUAGAAGCCC